rnacentral:rRNA from 1 species
CAAGGAAUCUUCCCCAAUGGGCGACAGCCUGAGGGAGCAACGCCGCGUGGAGGAUGACGGCCUUCGGGUUGUAAACUCCUUUUGUCGGGGACGAAACGGACGGUACCCGGCGAAUCAGCCCCGGCUAACUCUGUGCCAGCAGCCGCGGUAAUACAGAGGGGGCAAGCGUUGUCCGGACUUACUGGGCGUACAGCGCGCGCAGGCGGUCGUGUAUGUGCUUGGUGACAUCCUCCCGCUUAACGGGAGGCGGCCCAGGUAGACAGCGCGACUGGAGGCAGGGAGAGGGAUGUGGAAUGCCCGGUGGAGCGGUGAAAUGCGUAGAGAUCGGGCGGAACACCAGCGGCGAAGGCGGCAUCCUGGCCCUGACCUGACGCUGAGGCGCGAUAGCGUGGGGAGCAAACGG